CCUGGCUGAGAGGAUCCAGGGAGAGGAGAAAGCUCGCCUGUUUGACCUGGCUGAGAGGAUCCAGGGAGAGGAGAAAGCUCGCCUGUUUGACCUGGCUGAGAGGAUCCAGGGAGAGGAGAAAGCUCGCCUGUUUGAGCUAUCCUACACAGAGAGUCAGUCCUCCCAUAGCAAACAAAUGGGUGUAUGAGCAUUAACCAUAAUCACAUACAGUAUAUGGUCAAGAUUUGUACAGUGGUGCUUGUUAUGGUCAUUGUAUACAAGUUGUGUUCUUUGUGAUUGACAGCUAUGUAAGGAAAUCGUGGAGAGGCACACAGGCUACCCACCCAACUGGGAUAAGAACCUGUCCCUGGCCAGCGAGAGGCUCCUGCAGCAUCCAGCACUUCAGCCUGUACCUGGACAAGGAGCCCACAAACUCCCAGGCCCCCGGGGUGGUGUUGUCCAGACAAACAGGACCCUGACUGCACCUCACACUGCGGGAAUGUUUUCCACUGGGGACGUUACAUGACUUUUGCAACCUGGACUGAACCCAAUCAAGCUGUUCAUCUCUCACACACACUCUUUUAUUUACUAUUUCCCUGUCUCUCUCUGUAUCUCUUUCUCUGCCUCUCUCGCGGCUUUUAACGUUGUGAUUAUGUGGCCUCCAGCUUUAGUUCUCCCAUUAGGACGGUCAGGCUGAGAUUGAGGGAAACCCAAUGUGUGCGCAGAAAUGGAGGAUUAGAGCAGGCUCUUAAUCUAGGACAGACUUGUUCCGUGCCACGCUUUCCUCUGGACUCUUAGCAUGACCCAGGCUCCAAAUCACCACCGCUGCCCACCGACUAUCCAUCCGGCUGAGAUGGUCCUUUAAAAAACAAAUGGAUUCAAGGAGCUUUUUUGCUCCUUUUGACAGCAGAGCUAUAAUCCCUCACGGAUUUAAAUGACACAUUAAAUGUUACAAUGCCAGGGACGCAUUUAGAGGUGUGUGCUCCUCCUGUGAUACACAGACACGAGGACAGAAACACACACCACACACACACACACACUGAACAGUGGAGCACUUUCAACUUCACAGAGACAUUUUGUUGCGCAGACAUUGAGAGUCACAACUACGCUAACACAGACAGAGACAUUGCACACAGACAUGCAAGGGUCCUCAGCAGGGACUCAUUCCUCUGUUCUAGGAGAGACCUACCUCGCUCACCUUCCAUUCCCUCGUUCCUCUGUUCUCGGAGAGACCUUCUACCUCGCUCACCUUCCACAUUCUGACUGUGAACAUGCUAUUUUUUUUCUGCUGUCCACAGAUUAAAAUACUCUAACAAAGAUUCAUUUUUCCACUUAAAAUGUUCUCAGAGCUUUACUUUUUUUAUACUGUGUUUAUUUUUUCUAUGAGACAUUUUAUUUCUGGUGUAAGUAUUUAUUGAUGUAUACAAAUAUGACAAAUUAGUAUUAGAAGGAGAUGCAAAAAAAUCUAUGAAUCUAUAGUACAAUGUGCCGCUGUUGAAUAUAUUUAGUGUUUUUUGCUCCGUCACCUUACUUUAUCAUUUACCUUUUCUUGUGUCCUCUCUUCUGCUUGAAUCUCCCUCUAUCUGUCUCCCUCUCCUGUCUCCCUCGCUCUCUCUCAUCCCUCUCUUAUGUCCCUCUCUUCCACUGUCUCCCCCCCGCCCCCUGUCUCUGAGAGUCGGUUGCCCACCCCAAAUCAGCAAGCUGCUGAAGGAUUGUAGGAACCCAUGGAAUCGCCGUGACCACGGAUGCAGGCAGGCAGCCACGGCAACGCUGGAAUGUGGGGCGUCUGAGGAGAUAAGAGCUCAGGCUAUGUGUCUGCUGAGGAAUGAAUAGGGACCAAUGGGAGGUUCUGAUCAGCAGCCUGGGGCUCCACUGCCUAGGAGCUCUGGGAUUAGGGCUAAAUCCUGCCCUGCCAGAUGGGCACCAGCACCACAUCAAUCCCACCCACCACCACCAACCUUAGACCUCAGGGCCAGGCCUUGCUCCCCCUGGCCUGCACUGGGCUCUGUGGACCGGACAAUAGGGAGAUGGAACCCCUUCGGGAGCUCAGAAGAAAACAGGAAGUCCCCAGUCCAGAGCUUCCGGCGACGGUCCCCAGUGCAGAGCUUCCGGCGACGGUCCCCAGUCCAGAGCUUCCGGCGACGGUCCCCAGUCCAGAGCUUCCGGCGACGGUCCCCAGUCCAGAGCUUCCGGCGACG
ensembl:lncRNA